UUCUUGAGGGGGGGGGGGAAAAAGACGGAAAGGUGAAGGUUGUUGCUGGCCCUGCAAAAGGGGCAUGUGCACNUCUUCCUGUUCGUUGAUCCCCCUUUCUCUUACUCCACACACCUGUGCACCUGUUGUAGGUCCUUGAAAGAGGAUCUAUGUUUUUCAUAAUCACACCCAUCGUAUGUCUAUAGAAUGUAUUGAAACAUACAAAUUAUACAACUUUCAGCAACGGAUCUCUUGGCUCUCGCAUCGAUGAANAACGCAGCGAAUUGCGAUAAGUAAUGUGAAUUGCANAUUUUCAGUGAAUCAUCGAAUCUUUGAACGCACCUUGCGCUCCUUGGUAUUCCGAGGAGCAUGCCUGUUUGAGUGUCAUUGAAUUCCUCAAAUUCCCAUGUCUUGAUUUUUCAUUUCAUGGGCUUUGGACUUGGGGGCUGCUGGUGGUGACAAGCUGUCAGCUCUCCUGAAAUGCAUUAGCAAUGGACUGGCAAGUCUCUGAACGUGCACGGCCUUCGACGUGAUAAUGAUCGUCGUGGCUGGAAGCGGAUUUGGGCAUGCAUGAAUCGUCUAUGCUUCCAAUCCUAGGACCUAUAGCCUUGAGUUUCAGUCGCUUAGCUACUAGUUGGGUCGUGAGGCCAACGAACGUUGGGCAGGCUGAGCUUUUUGGGCUUUUGGGUCCUACUU
rnacentral:rRNA from 1 species